rnacentral:rRNA from 1 species
GAUGAACGCUGGCGGCGUGCCUAAUACAUGCAAGUCGAGCGAACAGACGAGGAGCUUGCUCCUCUGACGUUAGCGGCGGACGGGUGAGUAACACGUGGAUAACCUACCUAUAAGACUGGGAUAACCUCGGGAAACCGGAGCUAAUACCGGAUAAUAUAUUGAACCGCAUGGUUCAAUAGUGAAAGACGGUUUUGCUGUCACUUAUAGAUGGAUCCGCGCCGCAUUAGCUAGUUGGUAAGGUAACGGCUUACCAAGGCAACGAUGCGUAGCCGACCUGAGAGGGUGAUCGGCCACACUGGAACUGAGACACGGUCCAGACUCCUACGGGAGGCAGCAGUAGGGAAUCUUCCGCGAUGGGCGAAAGCCUGACGGAGCAACGCCGCGUGAGUGAUGAUGGUCUUCGGAUCGUAAAACUCUGUUAUUAGGGAAGAACAAAUGUGUAAGUAACUAUGCACGUCUUGACGGUACCUAAUCAGAAAGCCACGGCUAACUACGUG